UUUAUUGACAGCGCCGACAAAAGAACAAACAGGUCCGUGUUGCGCAGGCGCAGUGGUUAAACAAGCUAAGGGUCAGGGGUGGGGUUCAGCCCGAAGCGCUCAGAGAACAACGGCGCAUGCGUGCGGAUCCUCCCUUCCUUUGGGCAACUCUGGGAUUGGGCGGAGCCGCGGGCGCUAGUUCUUCUGUUUGCAAGUUUGCCGGUUCCUACUCUCCGUUCGGCUAAUAAAUUUUGCAAAAAUCUGACAAUUGACUGCUAAGGGAUAGUCCGUUACUUUGGGAUGCGGCAGAAGACGAGAUAACGAAGCCCUUGCUCUCCGGAAAGUUGCGUAGAAGGAAUUCUUGAGGUUUUAUUUAGCAUAUAGUGAUCGUUUUUUAAUCUUUCGUUAAAUUAAGGUGGACGGGUUUCUAGGCGGGAAACAAGUUAAGUACUUAUCGAUUAUGGCCUCUUCAUUUUGGACUGCCUCAGGCUCUUGGACCUCUUCUCUAUAUUUCCUAUAACAAAAAAAUAAAGCAUCUUUUUUUGAAACUGAGUCAACUAUUUGGUUGCAUUUGGAAGAAGUAGCUAAAUGAACCUAUGAUAUCUCACUUUCAAGACAUCAAGAAAGACUCAAGGAUUUUUUGUUACUGAAGGUUUCUUUGGUUCCUACUUUUUUUUCAGUGACUUCUACAACUUUAUUUUUCAUCAUCAUCUGAGUUUUAUUUUCAGAACAGCUGAACUGAAUUUUUAUAAAUUUCCACUUCAGAAACACAGGCAGUCUUAAGAAAUGGAUGGGAACCAGCAAACGUUCUCAAUGGUAGUAUAUACUAAGGGAAAAGAGAAAAUACUGGAAUUGCACUUGAACACUUUUGGAUUUCACUGUGUAAUGAAUUUGUUCUGCAUUAGGACUUUAAAAAACAACCUUGCAAGUUACACAGAACCAAGAGGACAACUUAUGGAGGACAUGCCUGUCUCCCAGAAAGUCUGAAGGUUUAUUUUGCCAUCUUUUAAGUCAAAGGAAGUCUGGAAGGUCUGUUUCCCCAUUUGUUGCUCUGAAUGUUUAUAGGAAGGGAAAGGUUCUUUUGGAGACAUCUGAACAAAGUUCCAAUGUUCUAAAUUCUGUUUUCAGGAAUGACUCAGAGCUUCUAACGUAGGAACUUCUAAUGAUCUGUAUGUGGAUGUAUGGAACAUUCAAUGGCCUAGGAAUGGUGAUAGUUGGAUCUCAGUCUAUUCUCUGUCCUGCCGUUACUUGGCUGUGGAUCUCAGACAUUUCUGGCCCACAAUUUUCUCAUCUGUCAGAUCUCAGUAAGAGGUGCCAAAUAAUCGGUAACAUUCCCCUCAGUUCUAAUUACAAUCAAACCUUAUGUCAAUGUUUCUGUCUGACUCAACCCCAAUCCAUAAUUCCUUUCUCCCUAAUUAUUUUCUGGUAUUGGUCCAGGGAUAAACAUGUGUCUAGUUCUAACCAAUGAAGUGUUAAUGGCUGAGAUUCCAGAAAAGAUUUUUAAAAGGAUAGAUUGGGCCAGAAUGAUCCUUUGGGUCUUUUGAAUCUGUCCUCUUCUUGCCUGCAAAAAAUAUAAUGCAUGGGCGUAGCGGUCAUCUUUUUUU